rnacentral:rRNA from 1 species
GAUGAACGCUGGCGGCGUGCCUAAUACAUGCAAGUCGAGCGAACAGACGAGGAGCUUGCUCCUCUGACGUUAGUGGCGGACGGGUGAGUAACACGUGGAUAACCUACCUAUAAGGCUGGGAUAACUUCGGGAAACCGGAGCUAAUACCGGAUAAUAUAUUGAACCGCAUGGUUCAAUAGUGAAAGACGGUUUUGCUGUCACUUAUAGAUGGAUCCGCGCCGCAUUAGCUAGUUGGUAAGGUAACGGCUUACCAAGGCAACGAUGCGUAGCCGACCUGAGAGGGUGAUCGGCCACACUGGAACUGAGACACGGUCCAGACCCCUACGGGAGGCAGCAGUAGGGAAUCUUCCGCAAUGGGCGAAAGCCUGACGGAGCAACGCCGCGUGAGUGAUGAAGGUCUUCGGAUCGUAAAACUCUGUUAUUAGGGAAGAACAAAUGUGUAAGUAACUAUGCACGUCUUGACGGUACCUAAUCAGAAAGCCACGGCUAACUACGUG